rnacentral:rRNA from 1 species
GAUGAACGCUGGCGGCGUGCCUAAUACAUGCAAGUCGAGCGAACGGACGAGAAGCUUGCUUCUCUGAUGUUGGCGGCGGACGGGUGAGUAACACGUGGAUAACCUACCUAUAAGACUGGGAUAACUUCGGGAAACCGGAGCUAAUACCGGAUGAUAUUUUGAACCGCAUGGUUCAAAAGUGAAAGACGGCCUUGCUGUCACUUAUAGAUGAAUCCGCGCUGCAUUAGCUAGUUGGUAAGGUAACGGCUUACCAAGGCAACGAUGCAUAGCCGACCUGAGAGGGUGAUCGGCCACACUGGAACUGAGACACGGUCCAGACUCCUACGGGAGGCAGCAGUAGGGAAUCUUCCGCAAUGGGCGAAAGCCUGACGGAGCAACGCCGCGUGAGUGAUGAAGGUCUUCGGAUCGUAAAACUCUGUUAUUAGGGAAGAACAUAUGUGUAAGUAACUGUGCACAUCUUGACGGUACCUAAUCAGAAAGCCACGGCUAACUACGUG